CAGGCUGGACAGCCGCGGACUCAUGCCGAAAGGCGGAGGAUGAGGAAAGUCCGGGCUCCACAGGGCAGGGAUAACGGGUAACGCCCGCCGGGGGUGACCCCAGGACAAGUGCAACAGAGAGAUACCGCUGCGAGUAUCUUCGGAUGCCGCGCAGUAAGGAUGAAAAGGUGUGGUAAGAGCGCACCCGGCUUAUGGUAACAUAAGUUUUACGAUGUAAACUCUAUCCCGGAGCAACGCCGUGGAGGGACUUAUGAUCGGCCCGAUCGUCCCGAGGAGGCGGCUUGAUCCCAGGAGCGAUCCUGGGGCUAGAUAGAUGGCUGUCAAGACAGAACCCGGCUUACAGGCCUGC
rnacentral:RNase_P_RNA from 1 species